CCUACGGGGGGCAGCAGUGGGGAAUAUUGCACAAUGGAGGAAACCCUGAUGCAGCAACGCCGCGUGAGUGAUGACGGCCUUCGGGUUGUAAAGCUCUGUCUUCAGGGACGAUAAUGACGGUACCUGAGGAGUAAGCCACGGCCAACUACGUGCCAGCAGCCGCGGUAAUACGUAGGUGGCGAGCGUUGUCCGGAUUUACUGGGCGUAAGGGGAGCGUAGGCGGACUUUUAAGUGAGAUGUGAAAUACUCGGGCUCAACUUGAGUGCUGCAUGUCAAACUGGAAGUCUAGAGUGCAGGAGAGGAGAAUGGAAUUCGUGGUGUAGCGGUGAAAUGCGUAGAGAUUACGAAGAACCCCAAUUGCGAAGGCGAUUCUCUAGACUGUAACUGACGCUGAGGCUCGAAAGCGUGGGGAGCAAACAGGAUUAGAUACCCGGGUAGUC
rnacentral:rRNA from 1 species